rnacentral:lncRNA from 1 species
GAGUGCUAGGUCUAUUGCACUCAGUCCAAAGUCAAGAAGUCAUUGAAAAAGGUUGCGCUGUGCUAGAGGCUGUGUUGUCUCAAUUACUAUGUAAGACCAAGCAAGUGUAGUGUGGAAGGUUGAUUCAAAUUAUUCCAGAGCUGCAGAGAGUGAACUCAGUCAUCCCUGCAGGAGGGGAAAAACAAGGUUAUCAAGAUGCCUCACAAGAAGCAACUGGAAGAGAAAUACUAAUAUUGAUGAGUUACUAUCCGAACAAAAAAUUAAUUUUCACCUCAAGAAACAUAAGCGAAGAGAGAGCUACCCAUCUGCCAGGUAAGAAAUUGCUUUAAAAUAGAAUAAAAGUGUUAGCUUUCCUUAAAAUUG